AGCCCUGGGGUGUCACACAUGGAGUUGCAACCUCCAAGAAGCAGAGAUUCUGCCGGGGCU
rnacentral:tRNA from 1 species